GGCAGUUUGAUGCUGAUUGACAUCUCAUUUCACCUCUUGUUGAAAUAAGCAUUUAUUUUGACAUUCGGCAGCACAUUUAUCAAAAUUGAGGACGAGGACGGGAGAACAUUAACGUUGGUUGAGAGAUACAGAAGAAUAAGAAUAAGAAGAACAUGCAGAAGAAAAAMAUAGAAUAUUUUCACAGCUCCACAAGCUCUUUUCGCGAUUGGCGAAAGCAUCAUAUUUGAAAUGUAUCAAGGGAUGACACAGAGACCUCUGGCUUUGAGCAAGACAGUGAGCCAGAGCUGCCAGGAGAUGUCAUCGAGCCCCUCCCAAAUGCAUCAAGCACCCAAAAGGACAUGUGUAGAGAUAUGACACAUUAUUUAACGUGUAUUUAAGACAUUUCAAGAUCCAGAGAAGAGGGUCCUGUACAGCCGMGUUUGAAAAKAUUUCCCAGGACUUUCAACAGCUCCUGGUAGGAGGAUAAUUCAUGGCUUGAAUAUUCUGUAAAUCAAGAUUCAACUUAUUGUUUCACCUGUAGYCAUUUUUCUCUGUCCAAUACACCUGAAUCUACCUUCA